CCUUGAAGUGUCUGUGGAAGAUGGAGAUACUGUCUAGAUACAAGCUUCAUUAGAAGCAUCACAACAGCUGGCCUUGGAGUUAGAGUAAGUAAAUACUCUCCUUGUGAGGAGCAUCCCUUGGCUUGCUGCUGGACCCUGAAGAAGACAGAAUGUCUGACCAUGGACCACCGAGUGACCAUGUGACCUGAGCUGUCCAUCCUGAACUGAGUUUUAUCUAACCCCUUCACAUAAAGCCAAACAUGCCCAGCAGUUCCCCACAUCAAAUGGAAGAAGAAAUGUAUUCCAGCCAACUCACUGGUGAAGGGGAGAAAAAACAAGCCUGGUUUAAGGAUAAUGCUGCAAAGUAUAUUAGCAUCAGCUAGAAGCAGACUCUGAAGUUACAGCUCGCAUCUCACCCACCUGCAAGUGGCCUCGAAGAGACAGUGGAAAAGAUUUUACCUGUCUACUUUACCUUGAAGGAGAUAUGACCUGAUUAGAAGGAAACAUGAUGUCUAGAGCUCAAGAAGCUAUCUUGGAUCAAGGGAUGAGGAUCACACCUAAAGAAGAAGAGGCAGUGAUAGCCCUGAAUGAUGAACUUAAUCCAGACUCACAUGAUGGAAAAAGAUUAAUGGAAUGACUCCAUGGUCAGAGCUCUGGUCGGAAGAAGAUUUGAAGAUUGCAGACAAAGAGAUGUAGGGAUAAGCUGUGGACUAUUGAGAUGGGAUCACCACAGAAUUAGAGAAAUAAUGGACCCUAUCGAGAAAUCCUGAUCCAGAAUCUGGUUACUAUCACCAAUGUGAUUGGAGUUGUUCUUCCUCAGGAGACAGAACGAAGGAGAGCCUAGAAAGUUCGGUGAAUGGCCAGUGCCACCAAAUGAAGCCAAGCCAAGAAGCAAGGCAUCACGACUCUAUCAUCCCUCAGUAGGAUAUGUCUUAUUGUGUUAUCAUACAUUGUUAUUAAGAACUUUGGAGAUUUUUGUUCUGAGCCUGAAGUGUGUGGAGGUGUUACUCGGUGAUUGUUUAGUAUUUGACCUAAUUUUCUAAAUUUUCUAUAUUCAGCCUUUUAUCAAGUAAGUCUUUUUUUUAAAUCUACACAUCUUAUUUUUCAGGAAUAAUGGUUUUAAUUGGGUUAUAUUUCUAUUUGGUUUAUCCUCCUAAUGAAUCACUCAUUCUUAAAAGUUCCUGUGUUUCCUAGUGUCAUCAUGAGUAGACACUCUUCUAUUUCUCAACGAGAGUUAUUUUUAAGCUGCCAGAGCCACGAAGAUCAAACGGAGGCUUUGGCUGACACAUCUUUUACAUGACUAGUUACUGGACUUUGGGGAAAGAUUCACAUUGUGUAAAAUUUGCAUUUGGGAAGCCGUAGACAUAUUUUCGUCAUGGAAAAUCCAGGGGGCCUCUUGUUUCAUUCAGCUAUUCAAAGAUGAUGAAGCAAAAUAAUAGAUUGUUUUCUCCUUCUUUUGAACAAGGAAGAACCAUGAAGACCCAGUUAAAAAACAAGAAAAAUAAAAAACAAAUUGCAAUAUCCAAAAGGCAUUCUGUAUCAUGGAAGAAACUUUGCCCACACAGUGUGCAGAGCCUCAGGGCUUGGGCAACCCUAAAACCUCAGAUGCACACUGACCCCGCCUGGACGUUGCUGUAAACUGGGAAAGCGCACUGUAAACUGGGAAAGAGCAUAGGCAUAGAAUUGGGACCCCAGGCAGCUUUGGAAUGUUUAUGGUUAAGAAGAGAAAGAAGGCGUUCUAAAAUGUACCCGGGAUUUGUGUUAAUCAGGUAUGGUGAAGUGACAACUGCCUUUGAAAGAAGAGUUUAUUGCUUACAUUUCCCAAGACAAGGAGGCUUGACACACCACGCAGGGCCGCGUCGGGAAGCACCGAAGUCGCUGGUCAGGAGGCAGAAGGAGAGAAGGAAAAAGUAUGGCCAGAGACUUUAUUGUGGUUUCUGAGGGAAGGAAUGGGUGAGGCAGGGUUGGCAAGUUUGAACAAGCGUGGAAUUGAAUCAUUUGAAUAAUUUGUUGGGCUAUGGGCUGUUGGAGUGGUCUCCAGUUGUCCAGUAUCUGAUUUUGAGGGCAAGGAAACUGGUUUGGUGUGUGAGUUAAACAAAGGAGGUGGCCAGGGACAGGGUCUUCGGAUGGGUUAGUGUUCAUACGAAAGUUAAGCUCAUGGAAAAGUUGUUUGCUAUCUCUAGGAAGCAGCUCUUCCUCGAGGGGCAAUCUCUCCUAAGCCAGCAAGGGCUGCCAGAGAUGUCAAAGCAAAUAAAGAUCAUGAUUAAUACAAAAGGCAACUAUUAGGCCAGUUGUUCUUUGGUGGAGUUAACCCAAAACAAAUUAUCAUUGUAGAACUGCUCUUUGAUAUUCAUUAAGUCUUACGGAAAAAAAAAAAAGAGGAAAUCUAUACAAUCUCUGGAUUUUAUAUGUGGUUCUGUUCCAAACAUUGAUCAAUGCUGGUAGAAUAUAUUACUGAACUAAUCACCUAAAUCACAGAAGUAUAAUUAAGUUCAGGAGGUUUUACAUUAUCGUAAGGAUAGAUGGAUGCUUUAGCCUCCUCCUCCCCAAUUUAGAAUGUAUAUAUGGAUCGAGAGGCAGACAUUGGAAUGAGGCUGCCACCAACCAAGGAACGCCUGGAACCACCAGGGCUAUAAAAGGCAGAGAAGGAUCCUCUCCCUACAGCCUUCAGAGGGAGCAUGGUCCUGCUGACACUUUGAUUUUGGACUUCUAGCCUCCUGAACUGUGAGAGAAUAAAUUUCUGUGUCUUAAGCCAAAAAAAAAAAAAAACUGUACAUAUUUCUUUCUGCAUUAAUAUUUUUUAUUUAAAGGUAUAUUACUUUUCCAAUAGCAGUUUUCCUUCUUUUCUAGGCUGUGGUUUAGCUGAAUAGAAUAAAAAUUAAAAUGUGUUUAUCAGCAAAGCCUAUCAGAGUAGCUAGAAAUUGAAAACAAUCUAAAUACCCAAAGCUAAGAGAUUAAGUAAAUCAUGAGAUAUCCAUACAAUGAAACAGGUAUUUAAAAUAAUGUUGCUGGGCUUCCCUGGUGGCGCAGUGGUUGAGAGUCCGCCUGCUGAUGCAGGGGACACAGGGUCGUGCCCCGGUCCAGGAAGAUCCCACAUGCCGCGGAGCGGCUGGGCCCGUGAGCCAUGGCCGCUGAGCCUGCGCAUCCGGAACCGGUGCUCCGCAACGGGAGAGGCCACAACAGUGAGAGGCCCGCGUACCGCAAAAAAAAAUAAAAUAAAAUAAAAUAAUGUUGCUGAAGAACACUGAAUAUUUUCAAUGUACUUAAUGAAAAAUGUAAGUUACAAAAUUCUGUGUUCUAUGUGAUCUGCUUUUCUGAAAAAAAAAAAAAGUAUUUACAUGCAUUAAAAAAAAAAAGGCUGGAGGAUACACAGAAUAUGCACCAAGAUGGGAUCCACCAUAGAUAUGGGCUGUGAGAUUAUAGUUGAUUUAUUUUCUUCUUUCUCCAUAUUUAUAUUCUUAAAAUUUCUAUAAUAAGUAUGUAUUAUUUUAUAAAAAUGAGAAAAUAAUGGGAAAAGAUGAGGCGAUAAAAAUACUUAUUUUUGUUGUUAUUUUAUUACACUGGAGUUUCUUUUCCCAAAGAAAUUUUCUCCUACUGCUGGUUCUGCUGGGUCACAAGGCUCCAGUGGCAGGGCAGCCAGGGUCAGCUGGGGUCGGAGCCUAGACCUUCUGCAGAGCCAUUUCUUAUUCCUGGUCCCAUUCAAAACUGUUGCCCUAUGGGAUAUGCCUCCAAAAUCCACAGAAGCUCACCAGUUCUUAUUGGGGAGCAAGGCGUGGUGCAACAACACGUCUCUCACUGUAGAAAGAACAUCCCCAAAUACCCAGAUCACUGGACUCUAGAAAUUCACCAAGAUGGCAAAGCCCUAAUCUUUCUCAGGGUUUAUUUUUCAUGCUGGGGCAUGCAAAGGCAUCAAAAGAAUUUUCUACUUCCUGAUCACCAAGUCCCAUUAGCAUAAUUCCAACUACUAUGGGAAUAUCAAAAUGACCACUAUUUCUCCAAACUAUACUGUGAUAGCAAGAGAACUGACAUAUACGGGAUGGGAUAUAUAUUCCAAACACCUUGGACAAUACACCAUGCUGCCGUACCAUGGCUGAGUCUAGCCAGCACGUGAAAUCUGGAAUCCUGUAAGAAUGCUCCAAUGUAAUAAAUUCAGGCCAAAAGAGCCUUAAAUGUUGUCUUAUUUGGUCUAACACCUUUAGAAUCCACUCUCAUGUGUGUUCCUCAGACUCUUGCCAAGCCUGAUCAGUGACAUCUUGUAACUCUGUAUAAACUCUCUCUUCCAAGACUGGCCUUUGUGCAUCUCCUUCAGGGCUCUGUUGGAUUUUAACUCUUGUUACAGGCCUCAAGGCAAUAAGUGGUAACAUUAGUUUGGGAGGCAAGCACCAGAUGUUUCCAUUUUAAAGGCUUUUAGCAGAGGAAGGCUUGUUCCCUCGGAGAGGGGUGAGGUUUUCUCUGCUGGCAAGGGAGUCGAGGGGAAUUUACAGGUUCCAAGUUCUCAGCCUUGUCCUAAUGUCUUCAAGCCGUGGCUCCUGUACCACUCGAGCCGCACCAGUGCCCUUACCCUAGGCUAAGAAGCCUAGCAAUUUAAGCCUUUAAUUGACUUACAACUCUUCAUCCUUUACCCCUCAGCUGUAUCAACCCUGAAGUUAGAAGGGAUGGAGAAUUCCUUCAAAGCUGUGUGGAGGCCUUCUGGUUCCCUAUGAGUAUUCUUAAGUCUAUGAUCAUAGCUUUUCAUUUCUUUCGUACUGUCUAGGGUUCUCAGAAGCCAAGUGACUCCACAGUCUUUACAAACACUACUGUCACUAUAGCAACUAAGUCCCACGGCCACUUGAUCUCCCCAUGCCUUUCCUGCCACCUGCACUUCACUCCUGGAUACCACGCAGCGAAGACUGGAAUAGUCACGAUGCCACUCCAGGCCACGGACUACCCACGGCCCAUACUCCCCUGGCCCCUGUCAAGGAAGUAAUCUCUGUGCUUCUUGAACAUACGCACAACCCAAUCCCAAAAUCUGUUUCAAGGAUCUGUUUUCUAUGUAUAAAGUGAACGAAUAUAAAUUUUAACUGGGUUUGUCCCUUAGUUCAAUAAUCCCACAUAGAACGCCAGAAUUAAACACAGAUGGCAACUGUCCCGCCAUCUUACAUGGGCUGGAUCAUAUUACAUCACUUUUCAGUCUAAAAUCUCGAAUCUGUCAUUCCCCGGCUAAUGUCUCUUCUCUCUCCAUGCUCACUUGACUAUUAAUUAAGCAUUUCCUUGGGGGUACUUAAUUCCUUGCUUUCUACCUGAAAUAGAAUAUCAGUGUGCUGCUUCAAACAAAGUCAAUGCUUUUUCCAAGAAGAAUAUGAGUGGAUUUAAUUUCUUUUGUUAUUUUUGCAGCCCCAGCAUGUAGCUCAACUGUGGCCUCAUCAAACGACCUCUUAUGAUAUCAAAAUUAUCAUAAAAAUAAUCUUUAUGUUUUGAAUGUUUACUAUAUGGUUUAUAUACCUUGUCUCAUUUAAUCUUCACAUCAAUUCCAUGUGGUAUACACCAUUUUAAUCCCCCAUUUAUCCAUGAAGAAACUGAGGCUUAGAGAGUUUAACAUAAGUAACAUGCUCAAGGUCACACAGCUGGUAAGUGAAAGAACCAGCUCUUUGACACUAAAGCCACAAGCCUCCAUGGCUUCUUUCAGUAGUGUUUAUAGAAUGAAUAGCCAGAUGAGGAGCCCCAGUAACUGUUAUCCAUAGCAUUUCCACAUUAUUUUACUGACCCCGAACAAAAAUGGAAUUAUCACUAACCCUUUAUAUCCGACUUCACUCUUACAUCCCCAUCAAUGGUUGCUUGUUAAAGAGAAACCAACUCUGGCUAAAUUUACCAAAAAUAAAGGGAUUUGUUGAAAGGUCAGGUUAGUCCACAGAAUUUAAGCAACAGCUGACCAGCAAAUCUUGGAAAGGACAGAAUCCAGGCAAAGCCAGGGAAUAAGGUAACAGGAAGUAGUAGACAGACUCUUGGGGCCUCCACCAUUGGGAUGAAUCAGCUUCAACUAUUUUCAGUCCUUGUGUCACUCUGCUUCAAGCCUCAAAUUCCAGGAAGAGUAUGACUGACAUCAUCUGGAUCUUCUGUCCAGCCCUACGCCAGGGGAUGGGGGUGGAGGAAGGAUGGGGCACUGUGAUUGGCAGCUCCACCAAGACUGCAUUCCAGAAAGGAAAACAGGGGAAGUAACCAAAAGAAGGCUUCGCGGGUGCUAGACAAGCGAAUGCAAAAGGUCUGCUGCAAUGACUUCAACA